CCCUUUUAUUUCCAGCCCGCCCGGCUCUCCCCGGAAUAUGCAAAGCUGCCAGAUCCGACCUCCUACUUAACCACCGACUCCGGCAUCUCAGCCAAAGGCCCCGCAUCCGGCUCAGGGACUUACCGGGCUGCGCUCCGAUCCCAUCACCAUGCUGGGUCCGCUGGGAAUCUGCGUUUUCCUGCUUGGCCUCUCCGGGGCCCGGGCACAGGUGGUUCUCACCCAGUCCGGCCCGGAGAUUAAGAAACCCGGAGAAUCCACCAAACUGACUUGUACCGUGAGCGGCUUUGAUCUCAGCAGCUAUGGUAUGAGCUGGGUCCGACAGGCUCCGGGAAAGGGGCUGGAGUGGCUGAUCUACUAUUAUUCAUCGUCCAGCAACAGCUACUCCCCGACAAUCCAGGGCCGAUUCACAGCCUCCAAGGACAGCUCCAAUUUCUACCUGCACAUGACGGGCCUGAAAGCGGAGGACACCGCCCGGUAUUACUGCGCGAGAGACACAGCGAGGAGAAGCCGGUCUGAGCUCAGACACAAACCUCGCCGGGUGUGAAUUGGAAAAGAAGCGCCCAGCAGGUGGCGCUCCGGCGCUACACAGCAGGGAGCCCCUGGCCGCAAACACGCUCAGAAGGAGA